rnacentral:rRNA from 1 species
AUUGAACGCUGGCGGCAGGCCUAACACAUGCAAGUCGAGCGAGCGGCGGACGGGUGAGUAAUGUAUGGGGAUCUGCCUGAUGGAGGGGGAUAACUACUGGAAACGGUAGCUAAUACCGCAUACCAUCAGAUGAACCCAUAUGGGAUUAGCUAGUAGGUGGGGUAACGGCUCACCUAGGCGACGAUCCCUAGCUGGUCUGAGAGGAUGAUCAGCAACACUGGGACUGAGACACGGCCCAGACUCCUACGGGAGGCAGCAGUGGGGAAUAUUGCACAAUGGGCGCAAGCCUGAUGCAGCCAUGCCGCGUGUAUGAAGAAGGCCUUCGGGUUGUAAAGUACGUUCAGUCGGGAGGCGUUACCGACAGAAGAAGCACCGGCUAACUCCGUGCCAGCAGCCGCGGUAAUUC